CCUACGGGGGGCAGCAGUGGGGGAUAUUGCACAAUGGGGGGAACCCUGAUGCAGCGACGCCGCGUGGGUGAAGGAGCGUUUCGGCGCGUAAAGCCCUAUCGGCAGGGAAGAAGGAGGACGGUACCUGACUAAGAAGCCCCGGCAAACUACGUGCCAGCAGCCGCGGUAAUACGUAGGGGGCAAGCGUUAUCCGGAUUUACUGGGGGAAAAGGGGGCGCAGACGGCAGCGCAAGCCAGAGGUAAAAGCCCGGGGCCCAACCCCGGGAUGGCCUUGGGAAUUGCGCGGCGGGGUGCAGGAGGGGCAGGCGGAAUUCCUGGUGUAGCGGUGAAAUGCGUAGAUAUCAGGAGGAACACCGGUGGCGAAGGCGGCCUGCUGGACUGCGACUGACGUUGAGGCCCGAAAGCGUGGGGAGCAAACAGGAUUAGAUACCCCUGUAGUC
rnacentral:rRNA from 1 species